UCUACGCUCCAGGUCCGCUACCUGGUGAAACUCGACUUCCAGAACAAUCGCUCCGUAGUUUCUGCGCUCCUGGUCCACUGCCUGGUGAAACUCGACUCUCGGAGGACAAGGAAGACGAGGAAAACAAGGUGGACGAGGAGGACGAGGAUUUGUGCUCGGUAUAACCCGAGGUGGUUGGCGGUGGUUGGUGGUGGUCGGAAGUCGACGAGGAGGAGGACGAGGGAGACAAGGAGAUGAAGGUGGCUGAGGAUUUGUGCUCGGUAUAACCCGAGGUGGUUGGCGGUGGUCGAGCUGGACGAGGUGGAG